rnacentral:rRNA from 1 species
AUAACGGUCCUAAGGUAGCGAAAUUCCUUGUCGGGUAAGUUCCGACCUGCACGAAUGGCGUAAUGAUGGCCACGCUGUCUCCACCCAAGACUCAGUGAAAUUGAAAUCGCUGUUAAGAUGCAGUGUACCCGCGGCUAGACGGAAAGACCCCGUGAACCUUUACUAUAGCUUCACACUGGACUUUGACUUUAUUUGUGUAGGAUAGGUGGGAGACUUUGAAGCG